UACGGGGGAUGCAAGCGUUAUCCGGAUUUAUUGGGUUUAAAGGGUGCGUAGGCUGUGAGGUAAGUCAGCGGUGAAAUGCCCCCGCUCAACGGGGUGAAGUGCCAUUGAUACUGCCUUGCUGGAAUGCGGAUGCCGUGGGAGGAAUGUGUGGUGUAGCGGCGAAAUGCAUAGAUAUCACACAGAACACCGAUUGCGAAGGCAUCUCACGAAUCCGCGAUUGACGCUGAUGCACGAAAGCGUGGGUAUCAAACAGG
rnacentral:rRNA from 1 species